AAAAAAAAAAAAAAUGGACAUAUUUAUUCAAACAGAUAAAGCAGAUGAAGCAGACGAAGCAGAUGAAGCAGACGAAGCAGAUGAAGCAGACGAAGCAGACGAAGCAGACGAAGCAGAUGAAGCAAACCAAAAUGACAAACCGACUAAUAAUUAUAUUCCAAAAAUAAACAAAAAAAUUGGAAACAGCAAAUCUAUGUGUACUCAUAACAUUUACAAUGUAAAACAGAUUCAACAUAAAAAAAAACAAAAAAAUAUAAAAAUAUUUAUGAUAGUUAUGGUAGUUAUGAUAUGUGUAACACGGUCACAAAUGUAAAAGAUAAUUACAAAUAUAAUAAUAACAAUUAUAAAAACUUAUCUAAGAAAAAUAAAUUAACCAUGUCUAACAAUAAUAUGUCUCUAGUUUUAUCUUCAUCAAAUGAGCAUAACCACGACCAAGACCACAAGCUACCUAAACGUAUUGAACAUAAUGAAAAGGACAAACAACAUGAACAGUUUAAAUACUUCCAAAAAAAAAAAAAAAAAAACAAAUCAAAUCAAAGAAAACAGUAAUGAUAUGUUUAAUAAAAAUACAUAUGAUUUACGAAAUAAAAAACAUAAUUAUAUGACUAGUAAUGUACUUUGUGAUUCAAAUAAAUUUUUUGCGCGAUCUAAAAAUAGCUUUGCACAUAUUGAUAAGAUACAUGAUAAUGUAAAAAACUCAGUAAGACAUAAUAUUAAAAAAAAUUCAAACCACUUCAGUAAUCAUAGUUGUCAACAUCAUAAAAAAACUGACGAUUCUUAUUAUUCAUACAACCAUGAUAUAAAUUAUAACAACCAGAAAAAAAAUACAAAAUCAAAUGGUACAGACAUAAUUAAUUAUAAAAAAGGAAGCGGGAUAAACAGAGAUAGAAAGAGUGAUAGCAAAAGUUAUAGCAGCAGUUAUAACAGUGGUUAUAGUAGCAGUUAUAGUAGCAGUUAUAGUAGCGGUUGUAAUAAACAUCAUAAUAAAAAUAUAACAAAUAAAAAAGAAAGUUCUCAAUUAAACACAAAAAGUUAUAAAACAGAAUCACGACAAAGUAAUAGUAAACAUCCAAUCGAACUAAAUAAUUUGAACAGAAAAAAUAACAGUAUAAAAAAAACUGAAAUGGACAAUAUGUAUGAAUAUAUGGUAAAAUAUAAACAAAGUGAUAUUUCUAACAAAAAUAAUUCAUCCAAUACAUUUCACAUACCCAAGCACAAUUUAAAAAAUACAAAUUAUAACAAAAUAUCAAGACGUAAUACAUGUAUUGUUAAAAGUAAAAAUAACAUAGAUACAAUAAAUAAAAAAAUCGAACAAAAAAAAAGUAAUGAUAAAAAUAUAAUUAGUAACAUUAAAAACAUAACGAAGCAUUGUUACACUGAUGAUCAGUUAAAAAAUAAGCCUUUGAUUGAGAUACGAAAUAGUAGUCUACCUAAUAACUAUCGUUUUUCAAGCCAUAACUAUAUAACUAACCCAAUUAAUCAAACAAUACAAAAUAGUUAUACGAAUUAUUCCAGCAAUAAUAACAUUGGAUAUACGUCAAUAACUACUUUAGAUAAACCUAAAUUUAUAAUAGAUGCUACCAAAUGUGAAGAUAAGAAUAAUAUAGAUAGUAAUAUAUACACAAAGAAACCAUCUAAUAUAAUACAACAAAAAAGUAUUUUAGUCGAUAACAAAAAAUCAAAUUUAUAUAUAAAUAAUAAAAACUUAGUUAACAAUGAUUUCAAUAGUUUAUAUAUACCUAGAAAUAACACAAAUGUUUGUACAAAAAAUAUAAAAAAAUAUUUAACCAUGGAUGAGUAUAACGAGUUUUUAAAAAAGCAAUUGAGUUAUCAUGUAGGUAAUAAAAGCGAAUUAGUACAAUAUAUAACAUAUGAUAGAGGUAAUGGUUCGAGUGUGAACAUGUAUAAUGGCAUAAAUGGUAAUAUAUGUAAUGAUCAAAGUUGUGGCAGUAGAAAUAGUCUUUAUAACGGGUCAAACGUUACAACACAAAAUACAGAAAAUCAAACGAUAGACACAAAAAAAGAUCACGUUUAUGAAGACAAAGUGAAACAAACAAAUUGUUUAAAUGUUAGUAAACUCAAAAAAGCUUUAACACAAGGUAUAUAUAAUAAUGAUAAUAACACUGAAGUGAAAAAAAAUAAUAUAAAUAUAUCGUACUCUGUAUUAAAUGGAAGUGAAAAAAACUGUAAGUUAGUUAAUAAUAACAAUUCUAACAAUAUGAAUAUAAUAAAUACCACUAAUAACAAGAACAAUAAUGUUAUUACAAGUGAUGGUGUUAAUAU
rnacentral:lncRNA from 1 species